UUCAAUGGAAAUUUUUCAUAGCCUCUGACUGCUAAAAAUAGCAGUGAGGUGAAAGAAGUGGGCACCGACUCUACGGGGUCAUUUCCUUUAUAAAAAGGAGUGGGCUGAAACGGCAGGCUGAAUUAUUUAUCAACACAUUUGUUCAUUCAGUCAGUGUCUCAAAAACAUAUUGUAUGUGCAUUUCCUGUCAAUUUAAUACAGCCAUCUCAGAUGGAAACAUCACAUUCUUCCUGAUGACAAGAGGUCAUUUCAGUCUAGGGACAGCUAAUAUUUUAGCUGAAAACAAAAAGCUAAAAAUAAAACUCAAGGAAAGCAAAAUCUGCAGGACAGGGCUGCCAAGCUAACAGCACAGCGACAGGAGAACAGCUACUAUCUGGUCUCCAGCGCAAAUAUGGAUGAGACUAUAGCUGGAGCUGUCUGCUGCCCGUGAUUCAGACUGUCUAUGGAAUGCAAUGAGUGUAAAGUAAGUGGACAACAAGUCUGGGAAUGGACUUUAUUGUGGUUUAGAAGCUUUCAGUUCCCAAAUGCAUGAACACAUUCCUUUUUCAAGUUAUUGUUUUCCAGGAUUUCAAAAUUACAAUCGAAAGUUGUUUCAUGCCAUCUGGAAACUGACUCCUUGGUGCUGAUAAUCGUCAUCUGGUUUAGUCUCCAAACAAGCUUGUCUUCCACCAGCAAGUAGAUGGGAUUUUUUCUUGUCUUGGUGCACCAGUUGUCUGAGAGGCCCUACGCACAAACACAGUGAGCGUAUAUAUACCACUACGUGACUAUCCGUUCUCCACAGUCUGCGUGCUCUCUUAAUGGACUUUGCAUGUUCUUCUGAACAGGAAAUGCUUUGUCAGAAACUUGCCUGUGGGCAUUGUGCUGCACCAAUUAAAGAUUCCUGAACUCAAGAACAAAGGGAUGCUAGUGGAACUAGGCUUUUAAUCACUCGGUUCAUUUUUUUCCUUCCUCCACAGCUGAUUUUGGAUGUAUGGCGUGUUUUUUGUUUGUUGUUUUAUUUUGGUUUGGUUUUUUUGGAUAGCUACUCAGGAAUGCUGCUAGGGAAACAUCUUCAUUUUUACAUAUGCAGAGAGGAUGUCAGGCUACUUAUGCAAAGGUUACUUGAAUUCAAUCAAAAUAUUUACUAUUUUUAAUUGUAAUAUUUCCUUGAGUGCCAAAAAUGUUUAGAAUUGGAGUUCCUGGGGUUUGUACACAUGUGAAAAAAUGCUUGGGCUUUUGUGGUCUUGUUUUGUUUCAAGAGGCCUGUGAAAAAUCAGGUGUGAGCCAACUAUGACAAUAAUAAUACCUGGCACUUAGCCAAGUAUAUGCCACCUUUUCCCCAAGGAUUCUUGUGCAUUUUACUAACAUGCGUCAACUUGGCCUCACAACACCUCCUGUGAGGUAGGAUAACUAUUAGGAUACAUUUUUACAUAAGUGUACACCAAAGCCCAGAGUGGUUAGGUGACUUGACUUUUUCAUGUCCCUGGCAGAGUUGAGAAUAGAAUGCAGGAGUCCUGCCUCCCAUUGUUAUGUUCUUUCCACCUCUUUGUAAUAGAUAUUAAGCUCUUGAAGGCAGGGACCAUCUUUCUGCUCUGAAUCUGUACAGCGACUAGCACCAUGAAGCCCAGGUCUGUGGCUGAGGCUCUUAGGCACUUUAGCCAUAGAAAUAAGUAAUAAUAAUAAUAAUUAAUAAAAUAUAUAUGGGGUGCAGUGGAACCAAAACAUAGAAUAGUGACCUCAACUGAGACCAAGUGGAUAAUGCUGAGUAGUAAGAGCUAUAGGACCAGCAUCAGAUUGGCUAAUGCAUAGAUUUGCUUUAAUCCAGGUGAAAUUGCUUGGAGAAUGUACAGGCACUACUCAGAGUCCACUGAAUCUAUGACCACACCUUCUAUGAAAAGUAGUUCUAAUCAUAAACAGAAAGUGGCUUUUUUGAUGCAAAUGUUUUCUCUACUCAAACCACAGCCCUACAAAAUACAAAUUCACUACCUUCUAUAAUGCGAGAAAAUAGAAAGAGAAAAAACCAUUUUUCUCCCUCAGCUAUAGGCUCCUUUGUGAUUUUGUCCAACACUCAUAGGCGGAAAAAGAGAGAGCUAAAACCAAACUGUAACGUAAGCAUAGGAGACCAUGUUCUGUGCAGCCUGAAGUUGAAAGAAACAGUGUGAACUCAGAGAGAUAGCUUCACUGAAUCCAGUCAAAGGGCUAGAUCCUUGGCCCCAGGUAAGUUUUCUGUGCUACUCCAGUAGCGUGAAGGGGACUUUAAGCUGCCUUAAUCAUGCAGCUAAGGUUCCCCUUGUGCGGGGGAAUCCCCAGCUGACAUAAAGUUGACAUCGUUGGCUUUAGGCCACGUGCUCCUUUACCCGCAGCAGAGGGGGCUGGAGAGGGCAGAGUUGGAGCUCAGUAAGCUGUGAUAAUUCUGGCCCACAAGAAAGGUCCAAUGAAGACUGCUCCAGCUGGAAUAAAUUAGAGCAGCCCUGUGCCCUGCAACUAACUGCAAGUCCUUCCUCUUCUUUCCUCCCAUAUAGAUAUAAUCCUCACCUUCCCUAAAUACUGCUUCUUGCCCUGAAACACAGCCAGGGCCUUGCACAGGAGCACAGCAGGCCCAAGCCUGCAUUGGAGAAGUGCAAGAAGCCUCCCCAUUUGCCCCGCCAUCAGUCAGUCCUGAUGCUCUGAAUGUACAGAAUGUCUGGGGUCAGAUGCAGCCACCGUAUGGGCUGGCACCACGAUUGCAGUCUCAUCCAAUGGGUGGUACAGCAGCUGCACUACUCAGGUGCUCCAGGAAGCACUGUGUUUUCUUGAGAUACGCUCCCUCCCACAGCAUCUCCCUAGGGAGGGCUGCUUUGCAUUGGGCGCCCAGUGGAAGUCUGUGGCUAAUGAUACAACCUGGUUCAUUAUUAGUAAGAGAGAAAACAAGAGAUGCACACUUCAACUCCUGGUCUAGUCCUGGGGACCCUGUAAGGCCUGGUAACUUUCUCAGAGUGGCCGGAAGCAUGCAAUAGAAUAAUUUCCUAAACAUCUGGUGACACUUUUGUGUCAUGCUGUACAAAGAUAAGUAGAAUCAUCCUGAAGUGUCAAUAAUCAGAAUAAAAAUCUCAUUUGGGCGACAAUUACUGUGGUGUGUGGCAGAACCCACAGAGAGUAAUAUCCUGGUCUUAGUGAAGGUGAGUGAAAGUCCUAGGUCAUUUAUAUGUAUCACAAGGUGCAGGUUGCAAUUUCAGUUCUACUGAAACAUCCGUUUCAAGUGCAGUUUUUCUGUGAAAUAACUUUGCUAUAAAAGGGCUCCACGGAACUGCAAGUCUGAUGAACAGCGGCAGUUGUGCCUACCGCCUUCCUUCCCACUGCUCUUCUAAUUACUGACACACUGAAAAUAAUUCAGAUAUAUUGCAGCAGAGAGGCUAUUUUGGGGUUUUGAGAUGUGGUUAGAUAGUUGCCAUCUGAAUGACAAACAUAUUUCUUUGUGAAGUAAAAAAACAUGUAACUUACGUAUUCUCAGGCUGGAAAAUCAAUACCACUUUGGAGAGCAGCUACAUAUUUAUUUACUUAUUUAGGGCCAGAUUCUACCACCUUUAUUUACUCCCACUGAGUCUGUCUAAGGUCAGUCUGUCUAAGGCCACUAUUUCUGUAGUAUCUGAGUGCCUCACAAUCAUCAACAUAUUGAUGUCAGUACCCCCUCACCAGGGUAUUGUGAUUUUUCCAUUUUACAGAUGGGGAAUUGAAGCACACAGAGGCUAAAUGACUUGCCCAAGGUCACACAGGAGCUCUGUGCAAUUGCAGGUACUUGAAUCUUUGUAGGCUAGUUCCCUAGCAACUGUGCCUUCCUUUUUGUACCCUAGAUUUAGAGACUUCUGUGCCUAGUGGCACAUGGGGCAAUCCACUUUGCCCACUGCUGUCUAUCCAGAGCAAGAUGUUUGAUUCCACUGGAAGUUGUCUCUGUGAUGGCAGCAUCCUUCCUGCGCUAGGUCAUUCUUUGUCCUCCCCACCUUCUCUUUCUUCCAGGUGGAAUCCAAUCUAAGAUGUAUCUUGUGCUUCUAACACAGAGUAGCAUGGGGGAAAUGGUUGAAACAGGUCCAAAUCUGAACCCUGGAUAAAAUCUCCCUGAAGAGCUGGACAGACUUAAUUCAGAAAACAUCCAACUCAAGUUAUCUCCAUCUGUUUUACAUUUCCAAACAGAACCUAAACUGCUGGAUAGCUUUGUUCUAUGCUCCCUUUAAAUAAUGUUAUGGAAGAACAAGAAGUUUGGUGGUUCUGCCAGCCCUUGCCUGUGAGACUAAGGAAGCUGAGAAGAAAAUGGAAGUGAACGGCAGUGGAUUGGAAAGGUAGUUAGUGGAAGUGUAACACCGAAAAAACCCGGUUGCCAGUGGGUGGGAUCGAACCUGGGACCUCUGAAGCUUAAUGCCUGAGCCUCUACUGCAUGAGUUAAAAACCAACUGGCUGUUAGCUGAGGCUGUAGGGCAGACUCAUUUAACUCUCUCCUUAAGUGUUCUCAGUGCCACUAGAUGAGACAGAACAUCACACCCAGAAGGCGUAUAGGUUACACAAGCCAGCUGACCUCUUGUUGUAAGGUGGCACACACAAGUGGAACUAUCAUAGGAAGGCAUCACUGAUGAGUAUGUGUAGCAUUUGGGCACAGGAAGUGGCAAUAUUGUUUGGAGGUGGAACAAGAAUCAUAUUUUAAAAGUAAGAUGAAAAGGAAGGGCUACGUGGAUUACUCUAAUAGUAUGUGUCAGCGGCAGGGGUCCUUGGAGCUGAGAGUGCACUGGGCAAAGAAAGAGUCAUGAUCUCAAAAAGAAGAAAAGCUGCUUUUUAGCUGCAGAGAUGGGAGGAGAAUUACUACAGGGAGACAACAUAACGGACCUGGCAGCAGAAACACAAUAAGAGGGCCAGAAGAAAAAAAGAGAAAUAAUAAUAAUAAUAAUUGUACCCUGUAUUUCUCUGGUUGCUUCCAAGAUUGUUCAAACAUUAAUGAACACUAUAGCCCUGUGUGGCAGUAGUUGUUAUCUCCCAUUGAACAGAUGAGGAACCGAUGGGGCAGGAUUUGCCCAAGGUCACACAGGAACUUCAUGUCAGAGCUGAGAAUAGAUUCUUAGUUCCCUGAAUUGCAAGACUUUGCAUUAACCACAAGAGCAAGGGACUUGGAGACAGAGAGGAGAGGGAAGGAUGCAACUAUAAUACAAAAAAACCCCAAACCAAACCAAAAACCCCACCAAUCCUGGCGUGUUAGCAGAAAUCUAGAGAGAGAAGAACAGGAUGAAGGACUAGAAGGAGAAAGAUAGGGGAAGGGGAAGAAAAGAGAAGGGAAGCAAGAAAAACCAAAACAACCAUGGUCUUAGUAGUAACUAUGCAAAAGUAGUCAGCUAUAGCACAAUACAACCAUCCAGCUGGUUAAACCUAACCAUGGGAAGGGAGAGACAAGGUGGGUGAGGUCAUAUCUUUUAUUGGACCAACUUCUCUUGGUGAAAGAGAUACGCUUUGGAGCUACACAGAGCUCUUCUUCAGGUCUGGGAAAGGUACUCAGAGUAUCACAACUAAAUACAAGGUGGAAUUAGCCCUGGGAAUGGUCAUCUAAGCAUCUACCCGAUAAGUAUCACAGCCAGAUUAAUCACCUCUUAUAAUCUCAGGAGAUCGAUUCAGCCAAAGGGACUUGUCAAACUUCCAUAAUUGUAUUGAUUUGGGUUUCUUUUAAUACUAUAAAGUGCAAAAAUAAAUUUUCUAGUUAGCAAAAUGUGGUUUUUGUUAUAUUCUGAAUCACUUUUCCCCAUGGAAAAGCGAAGUGGUUUUCAAGACCUGAACAUUUUGGAAUUAUGUGUUUUGCAAAGUAAAGCAUAACUACCCCAAGGGCUCCUUUUUAAUAAAGUAAACAUGUAGGGAAGGGAAAUACUAGUGUGAAUAGUUCCCCAUAGUCCAUCUUGGGCAUAAUACCUUAUAAUUAAUCUGAGAAUUCUGAAAAUUCAGAUGAUUGAGAGCUGACCUCUAGUUUUGACCUACAAUGUGCAAUAUCAUGAUAAUUUGUGCAUACUUAAUAUUUCCAUUCCAUGGAUGGAUGUGGCCUCUAGCCUAAAAAAUAGCUGAAAGAACCCUCUGAAUAAGAAUACAGUUUAUGCUAAGGAUUUUAAGGGCUCCAGUGAGCUAUUAUGAUUUAAACAGGUAAACAAAAUGUGUCCAAAUGUCAGACCAAAGCAGCUCUUUUACCCUGUUGUGUCACCUGCAAAAUUUCUCCAUAGAAAAGGGUUCUGUUCUGUAGUCCUGACUCAGACACAACUCCCACAAACAACUAACUUUGAGCAAUAUUGUAUGCUCAGGGGGCAUGCAAUUUUUUCAUGCUUUUCCGAGACAAAGGCACCUAUUGUGAAUGUAGGCACUAAUAUCCCAUAGAGUUCAGUGGAACGUUAGUAUACAGACCAGCAGCCAACCUGAUGACAAAGAUGUUCAAACAGAAGCCUGGAACUUCAUUCCCAACUCACUGCCAGUCUUUCACUUGCACUCCCUGUUUUGUAACACAUACUUGGAGGUACACUGUGCACCAUUCUGAUGCACUCAUGGUAUAGUUGGGCAUUACAGACGUGAUCCAAAGCCCACUGAAAUCUUUCUUUUAACUUCAGUGGGUUCUGGAACAGGCCCAAAGUUCAUCAGACUUAACUUUGAAUUUCCUUAUUUUUUCAUUUGUAUUGCAACCAUGAGAUUUUUUUUGUGUGUCCAAUAUUUAUAGAAAGGAGGAAGAAUCUCUGAUGCCCUAAUAUUAAAAGAAUGUUAAGACACAGUGGCCACUUCUAUUACAGAGAAAAAUUACCUCACGCUGUUAUAAAGCUGCUUUCCCUGAGCAGUCCCUGGCUUUUGCUUACUUUAUUUAUUUCAGGUCCAAAAAAUACUAGCAAAAUUCUCUCUGCAGACAAAGAUCAUUUUAUAUUUGUAAGAACUACCCCAGAAUGAUUGCUGUAAUGGGGCCAAGAUGACAUCAACUGCCAUGGCUGAAUGAAGAAGCUCAAACAUUUCAAAUACAGACUACAUUAAGAAGGAAAAAAGUGUGUCUGUGAGGGGUAGGGAAUAGAAACCUGUUCUGCCUGCAGCAAGCAGCCAUGAUGAUCAUAUCAGAUAAAUGUGUCUUCAAAUACUCAGUACCUCUAGGUUCACAGAGGAAAACUGACAGGGCUAGAAUUUCAAAAUCUAUACCUGUAUAACUGUGCAUGCAAUAUCACUAAGUAUUGUUUGCCUAAUUUAUACGUCGAUUGUCAGAAUUGCACGUGCACACGCAUGGGACCAAAAUUAGCAAUUUGCACAGGUAAUACUUGGAUUGUGAGUGCAGUCACAGUAACAGCACAUGAAAAUUAGGUGUGCAUUUUACAUACACAAUUACACAAUCCAGCCCACUCCACUUAUAUGCAGCAUUCUAAUCAAGGGCUUGUGCUCCCAUGGAAGUAAACAUGGGUUUUGCUCCUAACUUUAAUAGGAACAGGAUCUAGCCCCCAAGCCUUAGCUUUAUAUUUUUUGCCUGCUAUGAAAUAGUACUAAUGUUUAACAAAACAACCAAUCAACCCGUUUGCCAAUAACUCUUAUCUACCUAAGGAUAAGCAGGAUAUAUUCAAACAAGGCUUUACUUUUGCUUUUAUUCACUGCUAACAGCUAAAUCUACUGGGCUCACAACAAAGAAAUGACAUUGUUUUACUAAUCAAUGUACUACUGUUCAUCUAGAACAUCUGCAAUAGUUUUGCCUGCAGCACUACCCCAUUCAUUAUGUGUCUUCAUGGACUGUUCAAUUAGGCUUUUUAAAAAUGUAUUUAUUAAAUGUAUAAAAGGGUUUUACAUUGUCGAAUUUGCAUUGAUAUAAAUAAUUUUUAAAAAAACCCACUUUUUGUCGGUUUCUCCAUUUUCAACUAACGUUUGGCAAGUGGAAAAAAAAUUAGAAACAGUUUAAAACCUGACAGCUCACCCCGUGACUUAAAGACAGAGGUUUUCUAUGGACUGUGGAAAUGCUUCAUUUUUUUGUGUUGCUAUCUACCAAAAAUGCAGCUGAUGAAAGGCUCUUACAUUAAGAAAAUAUAAAACUUUACAAGGGAUGGGUUCUCACCCUGUCAAGAAGAAGGCCACAUUAUUUUUGUACAGAGGACCAGAUGGAAUUAUAUGUAAUAAAAAGAGAGUGCUGCUUACCAU